rnacentral:lncRNA from 1 species
UUUUUGUUGGCUUUUGGUAUACAUGUAUCAAGAUUUUAUUUGAAGCAUGUCGGGUAACACCUUUAAAAAUAAUAAAAUAUCAUUUCAAGAAUUUUAAACACAAUUACAUAUUUAAAAUUUAAAUUUGAAAUUUUAAUUAAAUUAUACAAAAUUUUGACAAUCUUGUCCACACGCUCUUAGAUAAUAAGCUAAUAAAAAUAGAUACACCUAAGUGAGUUUUCUAUUUUACCAAUUUCAUAAAAGAAUGUUUAAGGCUAUUAUAUAAUUUUAUACUCUAUAUUGCAAAAAAUACUAUAAGUCCUUGAGUUAGCUUAUUUCUCAGCAGAGGCAUAUAUGCAGCUCUCAAUUAUUCAUUUAUCAACAAAUGAUCAAUUUUGUACUCAUAAUGCAACUAUGCAAGAGCUAAGCAAAAGGAAAUUGUAGCCAGCACUAUCAGAAUUUGAACCUCAAUAUAGUCAGAUAGUAUUAAACAAUUGAGCCGACCACAAACAAGUGCAUACAAAACAACAAGACGGUUUUGCCAACUGGGCAGUGCUUGAGACAAUCAUAAAACGACGGUAUUCGCCUACCGUAGAACAAUGACUGAUCAGGUCAGAAGAUGCUGAAUUUUGCUGGGCUUUGUGGUCACUGGUGGGGUUUACUACUAGUACAAGUUAUGAAUCCUCGCUUGCCAGUUCCCAUACCUCAUCUACUGUUGAUGUUGACAUGGCACGUUACAAUUGGCUGUAGAUUGUAUUGAAAGAUGAAAAGAAAGAAGAACUUCGAGGCAUAUGCACUUGGUUUUAAAGGAUGAGUUAAUGUCUCGGUUCUAGAAGCAGGCAACCUAUUGUCUGCGCAUGUUUCGUCCUCGUUUCUAGUAGCUAGUUGCUCCUUAUUUUGAUUUCUAUUUCUUCAGCAAUUUAAAAUAUGUAGCCUGAUGCACGUACUUAUUUGUUUAUUGAUUUGUUAGUUUAGUUGUGAUAAAGUAGUAUAAGUAUUUAGUACUUGUUUACUUGGAGCAGCAACCGUAUCGUAUCAAACAUGGCAACAGAAACAGAGAUUUGCAGCAGAAAGCAAAGAUGGUCUCUCAUGGGCAUGACUGCACUUGUCACCGGUGGAACCAGGGGCAUUGGGUAACUUCUUCUUCCCUUUUUUACUUUUUUUUAUUUGGGGGUUAAUUAAGCUCUGAUCAG